rnacentral:rRNA from 1 species
UGAAUACGAGACGCUAAGGCGUCGAAGUAGUGUAUGUCAUACUUCCAAGAAAAGCUUGCACUGUCAUAAGUAAAAAAUGCCUGUACCAUAACCGACACAGGUGGGUAGGUAGAGUAUACUAAGGGGCGCGAGAUAACUCUCUCUAAGGAACUCGGCAAAAUAACUCCGUAACUUCGGGAGAAGGAGUACCUUAUUCUAUAAGGUUGCAAUAACAAGAUCCAAGCAACUGUUUAUCAAAAACACAGGUCUCCGCUAAGUCGUAAGACGAUGUAUGGGGGCUGACGCCUGCCCAGUGCCAGAAGGUUAAAGAAGUCGGUUAGCAUUAGCGAAGCUGGUAACUGAAGCCCUGGUGAACGGCGGCCGUAACAAUAACGGUCCUAAGGUAGCGAAAUUCCUUGUCGGGUAAGUUCCGACCCGCACGAAAGGCGUAAUGAUUUGGAUACUGUCUCGGAGAGGGGCUCGGUGAAAUAGACUUGUCUGUGAAGAUGCGGACUACCUGCACCAGGACAGAAAGACCCUAUGAAGCUUUACUGUAACUUGAAAUUGAAAUUGGACUUUAUUCGCGCAGUAUAGGUGGGAGGUGUUGAUUAUAAUCUUGCGGGAUUAUUGGAGCCAUCAGUGAGAUACCACUCUUGUAAUGUUAGAUUUCUAACUUUGAAUCAUUAUCUGGUCAAAGGACAGUUUCAGGCGGGCAGUUUGACUGGGGCGGUCGCCUCCCAAACGGUAACGGAGGCGUACAAAGGUUUCCUCUGAACGGGUAGAAAUCGUAUCUAGAGUGUAAAGGCAUAAGGAAGCUUGACUGUGAGACCUACAAGUCGAACAGGGACGAAAGUCGGUCUUAGUGAUCUGACGGUACUGAGUGGAAAGGCCGUCACUCAACGGAUAAAAGUUACUCUAAGGAUAACAGGCUGAUCUCCCCCAAGAGUUCACAUCGACGGGGAGGUUUGGCACCUCGAUGUCGGCUCAUCGCAUCCUGGGGCGGUAGUACGUCCCAAGGGUUGGGCUGUUCGCCCAUGAAAGCGGUACGCGAGCUGGGUUCAGAACGUCGUGAGACAGUUCGGUCCAUAUCCGGUGUAGGCGUUAGAAUAUUGAGAGGAGCCUUCUUUAGUACGAGAGGACCGAGAAGGACAUACCUCUGGUGUACCAGUUAUCGUGCCAACGGUAAACGCUGGGUAGCUAUGUAUGGAGUGGAUAACCGCUGAAAGCAUCUAAGUGGGAAGCCCACCUCAAGAUAAG